AUACGGAGGGUGCAAGCGUUAUUCGGAAUCACGGGGCGUAAAGGACGCGUAGGCGGGUUGGCAAGUCAGAUGUGAAAUCCUACAGCUUAACCGUAGAACUGCAUUUGAAACUGCUAACCUAGAGUAUGGGAGGGGGAGAUGGAAUUAGUGGUGUAGGGGUAAAAUCCGUAGAUAUCACUAGGAAUACCGAAAGCGAAGGCGAUCUCCUGGAACAUAACUGACGCUAAGGCGUGAAAGCGUGGGGAGCAAACAGGAUUAGAAACCCUAGUAGUCC
rnacentral:rRNA from 1 species